rnacentral:sRNA from 1 species
AAGACAAGUAGAAGUACCGCUUCUCACCUCGUGGCUGGCGCCUAUAGGUUACAAUUUAUUAUUAUAAGAUAGUAAUUUUUUGUGCGGGUACUUUUAUGGUAUCCGCAUUUAUUUAUUU